rnacentral:rRNA from 1 species
CAGGUCAAGUUUGGUGUCAUCUUCAAUGACGACCGAUGCGCAAACAUAUUUGAAGCAUUAGUUGGCACCUUGCGGGCCACCAAGAAGAGGAAAGUUGUCACCUAAGAUAGUGAAAUGCUUCUACAAGGUGUUCAUGACAAUGUGGAGAUAACCCUCUUCCCUCCCCCCACAGUUGCUGCCACUUGA